CUUAAAUAAGAAGACUACAAUUAGUUAACAUGCCCUGUUAUACAAAGCUUCAAAUCUCAAGUGAAAUAUGAAAAGUGAACACAAGAGCAGGUGCUGCAGCUGGCUGGCAUUAAAGAAAAGGUUUCAUUGCUGUCACAUAUUUGAAGCACAAGAAGAUGGGAGUGUCUACGAUCAACAUCAUAUUAAAAGCCUUUUCAAAGAAAAUAAGUGAUCCCAAACUAUUUGGAUGCUAUCCAGAUUUCUUUGGAAGCACUCUAAUAUGAGAAUAAUUGAAAGCAAAUCUCUCGAUAAAGAUUUAAUUUUUAUCUUUAUUCUGAGAUCAGAAAUUUAUCCUACCACUUUACAGAGCUCAGAAGAAACUCCUGGAUGUGCCUACAAGUGGUGACAAAAGAUUUUUCCUGAAGACACGCUUGGAUAUUGCUUGGUGCAAACGCUGAGUCACCACAGAGGUGUCAGGAUGGAAUUGCACUGAUGUGUCUGAGAAAAUGGGUUUGGGCAGCUGUCUUCUUUAGAUACAGGUACCCAGUUUGUGGUAAAUGGGAGCGGGGCUGGCCCAGCCUCAUCCCCAAUGGGCACAGCU